AGCUUGGUCUGCUAGCUAUUUCAAAAUAGCCUUCAUAUGAUGAAGGAUUUAUGUUGCCCACCCCCACCCCUUCAAAUAAAAAGUACAGAGGGAUGCAUUUCAUUGCUGCUCUCAAGCUUCUUGCACCGAAGCAAAGGACCAUUAUUGUCACAGUUGCGUGAUCUGUCGGUGUCGCGUAGAGACCAUCUUAAAAAUUUGGAAGAAGUCUGAGAAAACUGCCAGAAGUACAUUGACUAGGAGGUUUUUGUCCUUCUCGUCUACAGAAAAAUGAACAGU